rnacentral:rRNA from 1 species
UACAGAGGGUGCGAGCGUUGUCCGGAAUCACUGGGCGUAAAGGGCGCGUAGGUGGCCCGACAAGUCUGUGGUGAAAGCUCGACGCUCAACGUCGAGUCGGCCAUAGAUACUGUUGAGCUGGAGCACUGUAGAGGCUCAUGGAAUUCCGGGUGUAGCGGUGGAAUGCGUAGAGAUCCGGAAGAACACCGGUGGCGAAGGCGGUGAGCUGGGCAGUAGCUGACACUGAGGCGCGACAGCGUGGGGAGCAAACAGG